rnacentral:rRNA from 1 species
UACGGAGGGGGCUAGCGUUGUUCGGAAUUACUGGGCGUAAAGAGCGCGUAGGCGGUUUAUUAAGUUGGAAGUGAAAUCCCGAGGCUUAACCUCGGAACUGCUUUCAAAACUGGUUGACUAGAGAGCGAUAGAGGAUGGUGGAAUUUCCUGUGUAGCGGUGAAAUGCGUAGAUAUAGGAAGGAACACCAGUGGCGAAGGCGACCACCUGGACUGAUACUGACACUGAGGUGCGAAAGCGUGGGGAGCAAACAGG